rnacentral:lncRNA from 1 species
CUUUUUUAGCUCACCUGUCCCGAAGGGACAAGUGAGCUUAUGCCAUCACUUGGCGUCCGUCGUCGUCCGUCGUCUGUCGUCCGUCGUCUGUCGUCUGUCGUCCGUCGUCUGUCGUCAUCUGUCGUCGUAAACUAUUUCAAGAAUCUUCUCCUCUGAAACUACUGGGCCAAAUACUUUCAAACUUUAACUGAAUGUUCCUUAGGGUAUCUAAUUUAUAAAUUG